GGACUGAGACACGGCCCAAACUCCUACGGGAGGCAGCAGUGGGGAAUAUUGGACAAUGGGCGCAAGCCUGAUCCAGCCAUGCCGCGUGAGUGAUGACGGCCUUAGGGUUGUAAAGCUCUUUCGCUAGGGACGAUAAUGACGGUACCUAGACAAGAAGCCCCGGCUAACUUCGUGCCAGCAGCCGCGGUAAUACGAAGGGGGCUAGCGUUGUUCGGAAUUACUGGGCGUAAAGCGCGUGUAGGCGGGCUUUUAAGUCAGGGAUGAAAUGCCAAGGCUCAACCUUGGAACUGCCUUUGAUACUGGAAGUCUUGAGUCCGGGAGAGGUGAGUGGAACUGCGAGUGUAGAGGUGAAAUUCGUAGAUAUUCGCAAGAACACCAGUGGCGAAGGCGGCUCACUGGCCCGGAACUGACGCUGAGACGCGAAAGCGUGGGGAGCAAACAGGAUUAGAUACCCUGGUAGUCCACGCUGUAAACGAUGGAUGCUAGCCGUUGGGGAGCUUGCUCUUCAGUGGCGCAGCUAACGCUUUAAGCAUCCCGCCUGGGGAGUACGGUCGCAAGAUUAAAACUCAAAGGAAUGACGG
rnacentral:rRNA from 1 species